rnacentral:piRNA from 1 species
UCCUAGAAGUUGGCCCUCUAUUGCUGGGA